rnacentral:rRNA from 1 species
GAUGAACGCUGACAGAAUGCUUAACACAUGCAAGUCCACUUGAACUUCGGUUUGGGUGGCGGACGGGUGAGUCACGCGUAAAGAACUUGCCUCACAGAUAGGGACAACAUUUGGAAACGAAUGCUAAUACCUGAUAUUAUGAUUAUAUGGCAUCGUAUAAUUAUGAAAGCUAUAUGCGCUGUGAGAGAGCUUUGCGUCCCAUUAGCUAGUUGGAGAGGUAACGGCUCACCAAGGCGAUGAUGGGUAGCCGGCCUGAGAGGGUGAUCGGCCACAAGGGGACUGAGACACGGCCCUUACUCCUACGGGAGGCAGCAGUGGGGAAUAUUGGACAAUGGACCAAGAGUAUGAUCCAGCAAUUCUGUGUGCACGAUGAAGUUUUUCGGAAUGUAAAGUGCUUUCAGUUGGGAAGAAAAAAAUGACGGUACCAACAGAAGAAGUGACGGCUAAAUACGUG